rnacentral:rRNA from 1 species
UGGGGAAUAUUGCACAAUGGGCGCAAGCCUGAUGCAGCCAUGCCGCGUGUGUGAAGAAGGCCUUCGGGUUGUAAAGCACUUUCAGCGGGGAGGAAGGCGUUAAGGUUAAUAACCUUGGCGAUUGACGUUACCCGCAGAAGAAGCACCGGCUAACUCCGUGCCAGCAGCCGCGGUAAUACGGAGGGUGCAAGCGUUAAUCGGAAUUACUGGGCGUAAAGCGCACGCAGGCGGUCUGUCAAGUCGGAUGUGAAAUCCCCGGGCUCAACCUGGGAACUGCAUUCGAAACUGGCAGGCUAGAGACCUGUAGAAGGGGGUAGAAUUACAGGUGUAGCGGUGAAAUGCGUAGGGAUCUGGAGGAAUACCGGUGGCGAAGGCGGCCCCCUGGACAAAGACUGACGCUCAGGUGCGAAAGCGUGGAGAGCAAACAGG